AUGGUAUCAAAGAGCUUGGUUAAUCCACUAACAAUUUGUUGAAGAUAAAUAAAAGUGAUGCUGCUCAAGACUAAAGCUGCGACCCGUAGCUACAGAUUUGAGCUAUAAACUGCGUUUCUCGACACAGUGCUGCUUUCUUCUCUGAAUUUGCAAGCAAAUGAUGACGCGUAAUAGAGUUGGUUAUGCUAAUAACUAGAAGUGGGAGUUUUUAAAGCGAUUGUAACCAUGAAUUUCAUGAUGUGCUAGGAUUGCACAGUGAGAGAACUUGAAAUAUUGUGCCAGUUGUAAUUGGUAUUUAUUGUUGGCUAUUUCUAUUUGGUUUCUUGAAUUGAAGUCGAUGCCAAUUU
rnacentral:lncRNA from 1 species